rnacentral:rRNA from 1 species
CAGCGCCACAAGUGGGGAUCACUUUUAUUGGGCCUAAAGCGUCCGUAGCCGGUUCAUUAAGUCUUUUGUGAAAUCGUUGGGCUAAACUCAACGGCGUGCAGGAGAAACUGGUGAACUUGAGACUGGGAGGAGUCAGAGGUAUGCCUGGGGGAGCGGUAAAAUGCUAUAAUCCCUUGUAGACCACCUGUGGCGAAGGCGUCUGACUAGAACAGAUCUGACGGUGAGGGACGAAAGCCAGGGGAGCGAUCCGGAUUAGAUACCCGAGUAGUCC